CUAGGAUGAGUUCGCAAACUUAAUUGUCUGACCUCGUAUAGAGGGUAGAUAAGUCAUUAAAAGUGAAUUAAUUUUGCUUAACAUCUGAGGAAAAAUAUCCUAAAAUGUAUUUUUACGUGCCUUGACCUGUUAAUUUGGCUACUGAAAAUCUUUUUUAAAGUGUUUUUUAUAAGCAUGAAUGACCAUGUUGUAACAUAAUAAUAGUUUCAGGAAGCGAAUUUAAAAAAAUCCUGUCAUAAUGCAAAAAUUUGGUCCCAGGCUGAGCUUUUAUAUUAAAAGUUGCUCUUCGCCUCCCCCAUCCCCGCCCCAUGAACUAUUAACUCUUCAGCAGAGCCAUUCUGACCACUUUCUAAGUAAGUAAAUUUAUAUAUGUUUACAUAGUUCUCAUUAAAAUCACAAAUUGAAAUUACUACCUAGUAGGACAGUGUUUAACUUUGGCCCCAAUCCAUCAAAUAGAUCUGAGAAACUUUUUUAAAGGACUUAGUUAACACAAAUAGCAAACAGGACCCUAAAAAACCAAUGGCAUGUUCAAGUUCCACACUUUUCUGAGUGAGCCACUCAAACUAUUUACUAUUAUUUGAAACCCAAAUAAACCACAUUGUCCCAGGCCACAGAUCAGAACGAGGGCGAUUACCAGCAGAGCAGUCAAAAGCAAAGCAAACACAGAAGCCUAGAUAGAGGCUGUGGAGCAUGGGGCAAACAAGCCUGUAUGCCUGUUACUAGCCUUUUGGUAUUGGUACAUUUACUAGGGCACAGGACCUCAGAUUUUGUUUUUAAUGACUCAGAUGGAAAGGGGAAACAUUUACUUUAAAAGGCAAGUGAAAUAUAGUCUGUGGCUAUUUUAUAAUUUUGAUUAGAAUCAGAGGGGCCAAUUUCCACUUCAUGUGGAAAAUGUAUUUAUGUAGAUGUCCCUUUCCCCAUAGGUGCUAGACAUAUAGUACACGUUCAUCCUUUAUUAUGUCAAAAACUAAACUAUCAAUCAUAACUUUCAGAAUAUUCUUGCCUAUCUACAGUCAACACUUUUUCUUCAGCUGGUACAUCUGCCUGUCGUCUUGCUGGCUCAUUCACGCCUCUGGUAUUAUUUUGUUAAGUGAUAAUCCAUAGAUUUCCUACCCUGGAAGAUCUACCUGCUCCAAGUAGCCUUUCUGGAUACUGGUUUCUUACAAAUUGAAGAUAAGACCCUCCCUCGACCAGCAAAAAGAUUAUGACUUGCCGAAGGCUUUUUUUCGCAAUAAAGUUUUAAAAUUAAGCAGGGGAAACAAGUUCAAAGGCCUGAAAGACUGGGAACGAAGAUGAGAAAGGGAAUGGCAAGAGAGAAAAUUGGAAAAACAGAAUGGAGACCAAGUGAGAUGGUCCUUCAUGAUAGGGAGACAACUACAGAAUUCAGUCCUGCUAUGGAAUUUUAGACAGACCUGGACAUGAUUCCAAAAAGGUGAAGAAUACUUCCACAACAUUUG